GAUGAACGCUGGCGGCGUGCCUAACACAUGCAAGUCGAGCGAUUUACUUCGGUAAAGAGCGGCGGACGGGUGAGUAACGCGUGGGUAACCUGCCCUGUACACACGGAUAACAUACCGAAAGGUAUGCUAAUACGAGAUAAUAUGCUUUUAUCGCAUGGUAGAAGUAUCAAAGCUUUUGCGGUACAGGAUGGACCCGCGUCUGAUUAGCUAGUUGGUAAGGUAACGGCUUACCAAGGCGACGAUCAGUAGCCGACCUGAGAGGGUGAUCGGCCACAUUGGAACUGAGACACGGUCCAAACUCCUACGGGAGGCAGCAGUGGGGAAUAUUGCACAAUGGGCGAAAGCCUGAUGCAGCAACGCCGCGUGAAUGAUGAAGGCCUUCGGGUUGUAAAAUUCUGUUAUAAGGGAAGAACGACUUUAGUAGGAAAUGGCUAGAGUGUGACGGUACCUUAUGAGAAAGCCACGGCUAACUACGUGCCAGCAGCCGCGGUAAUACGUAGGUGGCGAGCGUUAUCCGGAAUUAUUGGGCGUAAAGAGCGCGCAGGUGGUUGAUUAAGUCUGAUGUGAAAGCCCACGGCUUAACCGUGGAGGGUCAUUGGAAACUGGUCAACUUGAGUGCAGAAGAGGGAAGUGGAAUUCCAUGUGUAGCGGUGAAAUGCGUAGAGAUAUGGAGGAACACCAGUGGCGAAGGCGGCUUCCUGGUCUGUAACUGACACUGAGGCGCGAAAGCGUGGGGAGCAAACAGAAUUAGAUACCCUGGUAGUCC
rnacentral:rRNA from 1 species